rnacentral:tRNA from 1 species
GGCUCGGUAGCUCAGCCGGUUAGAGCGUGGGAUUCAUAACCCCAAGGUCGGGAGUUCAAGUC